CCUACGAGUGGCAGCAGUGGGGAAUAUUGGGCAAUGGGCGCAAGCCUGACCCAGCAAUGCCGCGUGAAGGAAGAAGGCUUUCGGGUUGUAAACGUCUUUGACAGGGGAAGAGCAGAAGACGGUACCCUGAAAACAAGCCACGGCUAACUACGUGCCAGCAGCAGCGGUAAUACGUAGGGGGCAAGCGUUGUCCGGAGUUACGGGGUGUAAAGGGCGUGUAGCCGGGAAGGCAAGUCAGAUGUGAAAUCCGGAGGCUCAACCUCCGAAUUGCAUUGGAAACUGUUUUUCGUGAGUACUGGAGAGGCAGACGGAAUUGCUUGUGUAGCGGUGAAAUGCGUGUAUAUAAGGAGGAAACCCAGUGGCGAAGGCGGUCUGCUGGACAGCAACUGACGGUGAGGCGCGAAAGCGUGGGGAGCAAACAGGAUUAGAUACCCUUGUAGUC
rnacentral:rRNA from 1 species